GACGAACCGUGCGAACGUUGUUCGGAAUCACUGGGCUUAAAGGGCGCGUAGGCGGGCUAUCAAGUCUGGGGUGAAAUCCCACGGCUCAACCGUGGAACUGCCUCAGAUACUGACGGCCUCGAGGAAGGUAGGGGCAUGCGGAACUGUAGGUGGAGCGGUGAAAUGCGUUGAUAUCUACAGGAACUCCGGUGGCGAAAGCGGCGUGCUGGACCUUUUCUGACGCUGAGGCGCGAAAGCUAGGGGAGCAAACGGG
rnacentral:rRNA from 1 species